UUUUUUUUGUGGGUCAGGCAGAAGCCCUGCCGUGUUUUACAUCUGCAUUUCCGUGGAUGUGGUUUAAGGGGUGCUUGUUUUCUGCAGGAAUGAGUAGACUCAUAUGCUGCUCUUCUGUCUGAAAGCCUCCUUCCCACUGUAAUUAAUGCCUUAUCAUACAUUCUGCAGGGAUGCAAGUUCCUCUUCUGUUUGCCUUUGUUCCUAUAUUUUCUUUACUGACUUAAUGUGUUUUCAAACGCGAGUGGUGAUUUCACACCAGCCCGUGCUGCCAGCAUGACCACUCUGUCCCUCUGUUCCAGCCCUGCAGACACCACAGGGUGUCCUGUGCUAGCACCACACCUUCACAGGCCUCAAGGGUUUUGUUAUUCCCAAUUCUCAUGAGCCUGAGAUCACAGUGAGAUCAUUUUGACUCGGUUCAAUGGGCUGAGGAGCAGCACAGGCCAGGGGAGCUGGCUGCGUGACAUCCAUGUGAUGCUCUCAUCUGAGCCACGCUCCAGCCAGGUGGGGUCAGCUGGGUCACAGCAGGGCUCACAGCACUGCCACUGGCAACAGGGGCAGAAAGAUUCCUUCUUCUCCUGGCAAGUCAAGCCACAGCUUUAUGAGACACAAGCAGAGCAUUUCACAUCAGUUCCUUCCAAGGCAAAGAGAGGUAAAUGCUGAGAACAGCAGUUCUGCUGACUACCUUGCCUUGUUUUAUUCUCAAAUAUUUGCAGCCUGGUUGUGCUUGUUCAGCACUGCCUCAGCAUGAAUCUCUUGAAUGAAUUCAAGUUCCAUCAGGAAUUUCUUCGCUGUGUUUGUCAAAGAAUAGACCAGUAAGUGCAUGGCUAGAAGAAUUCCCAGUGUAUUUCCUGAAGGCAAUUUUCACAUCUUUACAUUUUUCAUUUGGUCAGCCUCAGUGUAGAGUAUCUGCUGAGAUUGCAUCUGUCUCCAAAGACCCAGCAUCACUGGACAUUAGCUGCCUUCACCUGCCCAUGUUCUUCCAUCCUCCUGCCCUUCCCAACUCAUUUCACUUGUCAUCUUCUCUCUAGUGAGAGCUCUGCUAAAUACUUAUUUUUGUCAACUUAUAAAAUAUUCAUUGUUACUCCUUGUUUUAAGCAAAGAAUAUUUUUAAAUUACAUGUUCUUUGAUAGAAAAAAAUGCCUCAAUUCAUGUCAGUUUUUUAGAAGGGCAGCAUAUUUGCCAUGGAGUGAUAACCAGGAGUUAGAAAAUCACCUGUGGAAGGACCAACAUGGAUCUGGAGUCUGUCCCGUGGCUGUGACUGGGAUGUGACUCAUGAUUUCCACAUGUGAUCCAUGGGCCAGGACAGCUUCCAGGGCAUCCAGAGGGAAGCCACCACAUUGCUACUGUGUUGUAGAGCAUAUUGUGCACAUACUGAGCAGUAGAUAUAGAUAUAGAUAUAGAUAUAGAUAUAGAUAUAGAUAGAUAGAUAUAGAUAUAUAGAUAUAUAGAUAUAUAUAUAUACAGAGAGAGAAAGAGAACAUACUCUAUAUAUAUAGAGAAUAUGCUGCACUUACCAUCUCCUUACCAGUCCACAGGUAAGGGGGCAGCCUGUCCACAAGCAGUGGGCAACAAUUACCUGAGAAUUAAACCUCAGUGGUUUUUUAUUGAUUUUUUUUAAAUUUUAUUUUGUAAACUGAAGAAUCAAAACAAAAAUCUAUAGACAGACAAUUUCCUAUUGUGAAAAUUUGAGCUUCAAUGACAAAAUUGUUUAUAAAGGGGCAGAAGUAUUCAACUAGUGGUUCUGCACUGUAUAUAUGUGUUCUUAUCACUCAAUAACCCAGAAAGCUGUUAAGCAACACAUACUAUGGUAAGCACUAAAAUCAGCAGAGCCAUAUAACAAAAGAUGGUGAAGACUUGAUUGGCCUAAACAUACCAAUUUCUCUUAUAUUUAAUAUCAAAGAAAUUCCAGCAGAUUAGAGUUUGCUGUUCUACCAAUAUUUUAAAAGGAAGAAAUGUGGCAAACUUGAUUCUAUGACAAGUAAAAUAAUGGAAAACCUGAAGGGGGAUUAAGUUAAUAAAAUAAUUACCAUAUAGCAAUACAAAAAAUAUCAAUCAGAAAUUUUACAGAAAAUACAGUUUGUCAGACAAACCUGAUUUCAUUCUAGGUAUUCUCAAACUCUGAUUUUGGCAUAUAUGUGACAUGCAACAUAGACAUUUGCCUCUAACACAUCAUAUUUAGUGUCUCAUGACACUGAGAUGAAAAAAAUUAGCAUUCUAUCAGCAAACACACUCAGGAAGCCAUCAGUGGAGAAAACAUUCUCUGUGCUUUAGGGAUGUUAAGGAUAAUCCUAAACCUGCCACUGCUUAUUAUUUUCCUCAGUGAGCUGGAAAUAAUUUUAAAAUCUCUUCUAUUAAAAUGUGCAGAAUUGGUGGACUGGUAAAUUAGGUGAUAACUGAUAUAAUCUGAAAUGCUUAAUAAGUUUAAACCAGACUGUUUUGCUGACCCAAAUAUGCAACAUCUCCUUCAAAAAUGAGAGAGAUUUUAUCAUCCUAGGCCAGACAGAGCUGAGGGAAGGUGUGUGCUUUACUCUCCACACUGGCUGAUUGCUCUCAUUAAAGGCUGACCUUAACUGAUGUAUUUGGGAGAGAAUUGAAAUUGUUCUAGAUGCCACAGAGUGUCACUGGAAGAGUAAGAAAAUGUGAGAUCAUUAUAACCUUAAUAUAUCAGAGAAUUGAUUCUUGUCUAGUCCUCCUGUUAAAAAAGCUAGCUCCAAAUGCCAGCCUGCCUAAAAAAUGGAAACUGUGUAUGAGCAUUCAUCUGCAGAAACCAUAUGUCAAAUUCCUACUUUCCUUACAGGGCACACAGUAACCAAAAAUGAGCCAAAAUACUGAAUUCAAAGCCAGAGAAAAGUGUGGUACAACAGGAAACUGAACCAACUCAAUGUUUAGCAUGUCAGUGAUGAGCUUAAAAUUUGGAGCAAUUGCAGUAUUAUAGGCUUCUCCCAAGUGGAGGAAAAUGUUUUACGUCAAAACAAAUAUAAUUUGUGUCUGAUCACCAGGGAGAGAUUUAAGGGUAUGGUUUACUUUGAAGGAAGGUUUGUGCAUAUACAUGUUAUUUGGGAUGACCAAACCAUGGUCUAUGGUUUUGUUGCAUGCUGUACCAAGAUCCUUUAAGUCAGAACAGCUGGUGCCAUAUGAACUGCCCUCCAAAAACAUACUUGUCUGAGUGUCAUUAAAUAAUGAUUUUUUUUUCUAAGCCCACACAAACACUUGGCUUUUUCCAUCCACUUUAUCAAUGAUGAGUGUUUGCAAAGUCCAGAACUGAGCACUGGCUGUGUUUCACUAGUGUGAGGGAGAAGCCAGGAAAAACAUAUCUCCUGGGGAGUAUUCCCAGCUGUAAAUUUAUUUUUGACACGUAUAGGAUGGAAUUGGGUUUCUGUGCUUGUUUUGAUCUCCUUACAAAUUCUUAUUAAAGAGAUGCCUUCCAGCCCCACAGAACUGCAUAUUCUGUUCCAGUCCUAAAUCUGUGGGUGAGUCCUGCACCCAGAAGUGUGGGGCAGUGGGACAAACACACCAGUGCCUCAGACACUCAGCAAGCAGCAGCCCAGUUCUGUGCUCAAUACAUAAAUAUUUGCCUGGUUGCACUGUGCUCUGUGGCAGAUUAAAACCAAGUAUUUUUGUCACAGCCAUCAGUUGCACUCAGUGCUGUUCAUCCAAGGCACAGCCCCUGGGC
ensembl:lncRNA